AACGAACGCUGGCGGCGUGCCUAACACAUGCAAGUCGAACGCGAAAAGCAGUAAUGCUGAGUAGAGUGGCGCACGGGUGAGUAACACGUAAAUGACAUGUCCUCGAGACGGGAAUAACCAGCCGAAAGGCUGGCUAAUACCCGGUAAGCCCACGUCUUUGGAGAUGAGGGAAAAGGGUCGGGAAUUUUCGAAUCCGAUCGCUUGAGGAGUGGUUUGCGGCCCAUCAGGUAGUUGGCGAGGUAAAAGCUCACCAAGCCUAAGACGGGUAGCUGGUCUGAGAGGAUGAUCAGCCACACUGGAACUGAGACACGGUCCAGACUCCUACGGGAGGCAGCAGUGGGGAAUCUUGCGCAAUGGGAGCAAUCCUGACGCAGCAACGCCGCGUGGGUGAUGAAGGUCUUCGGAUCGUAAAGCCCUGUCGGAGGGGAAGAUGCUUGGAACGUCUAAUAGAUGAGCCAGGUGACGGUA
rnacentral:rRNA from 1 species